GACUGCGCGAUGGCGAAGGCCAGCACCGCGGCGACGAGCGGGCAGUUGGAGAACACGGCCAGGUAGGAGAACUGGGGCGCGCCAGGCGACGGCGGCGGGGGAACGGCGGCGGCGGCGGCGGUAACGUCCAUGGCUCGCGGCCGGCUCUCAAAGGUUCGGCUCGGGCUCGGUCGCCUGCUGGUGCUGGAUCACCGACCGCCCGACCGCGUCGGCUCCAGUCCUCCCACCUGCCC
rnacentral:lncRNA from 1 species